AAGAUGCACCGUGUCAAUCAAUAGUGUCAAAUACAUGGUAGUGUGUGUAAUGUUUUUUUAAAUAAUUUAAUGUAUUUUUUAUGCAUAAUUUAAAAAAAUAUUAACAUUCUGCUAAAUUCUAUAUUCUCUAUAAGUGUGGGAAAUUUCAUAAUCCUCCGUUCGCGCAAUUUUCGUAAAAAGGGCGAAUCAAAUAAGUACGCACAAAACAGAGCAGCAAGCAACCAACAAGCUUAUAAUUUACAAUCACUUAACAUAGUUCGCGUAACAACAGUACCUACCUCUAUUUAAGAACAAGCAAAUCAUGAAGCUACAGAUAGAUUAUCUCGAUGAUUUUACAGGUGACGAAGUAAUGAUCUUGUGAUUAACGUGACUUCGACUUCUCAUUAUGGAUCUCUACAGUGUUCCAGGUCAAGAGGUCUGGCUAGAUGCGAUAAUGAUGUUACAGAUUGCAUUAUCAUUUCGUGAUUAGGUGCUUCAGACGGUAUUUUACGUGUUCUCAUUUUAAAUUUAUAAUAUUUCUAUAGUUCAAUGAGAACGAAAUAUAUAUUCAGUAUCACAAACUUUCCCAUUAUUUUUAUUAUUGUUUUAGUGAUCACAUAUAUUGAACGUAUUGAAUUUUUUCUUCUACGAGUAUUGUUCUUAAAUAUACAUUUUUUUUAUAAUAUCUGUAUCAAAAACGUUUUUGGAUAUUUAUUUCACGAAGUACCUGAAUGUAUGUAAUUACGAUUUUUACAUUUUUAAUAAUAAUUGUGACCAUAAAAUUCCAUCGUUUUCAAUUGGAUAAUAGGUAAUAUCGUAAAUGAUAUUAAAAUAAUAAAACGAGUAAAAAUUUAAAAUUUAAUCGAAAGUGUUUCGUAAUCGAAAUAUUCUGAAGGGAAUGUUUGAUGCUUAAAAAUAUAUUUAAUGUUUCUCAAACCUUGCAAAUGUAAUAUUACAAAUUUUACUUCUGUUUAAAGCCUGCAUUUGGUCGUAUAAUUAUGAUUCUAGAAUAAUUAAAUUAAAAUUACAACAUAAUUCCGCAAUUAUAAAUUAAUUAUAUGAAUCUGUUUACAAAAAUAGCAAUUGAAUAAGAAGGAGACUCGUUUGAUUGUUGAAAGAAAAACCUACAACGUA